rnacentral:rRNA from 1 species
GGCGGCCCCCUUGACAAGACUGACGCUCAGGUGCAAAAGCGUGGGGAGCAAACAGGAUUAGAUACCUGGUAGUCACGCUGUAAACGAUGUCGAUUUGGAGGUUGUUCCCUUGAGGAGUGGCUUCCGGAGCUAACGCGUUAAAUCGACCGCCUGGGGAGUACGGCCGCAAGGUUAAAACUCAAAUGAAUUGACGGGGGCCCGCACAAGCGGUGGAGCAUGUGGUUUAAUUCGAUGCAACGCGAAGAACCUUACCUACUCUUGACAUCCAGAGAAUUUAGCAGAGAUGCUUUAGUGCCUUCGGGAACUCUGAGACAGGUGCUGCAUGGCUGUCGUCAGCUCGUGUUGUGAAAUGUUGGGUUAAGUCCCGCAACGGGCGCAACCCUUAUCCUUUGUUGCCAGCACAUUAUGGUGGGAACUCAAAGGAGACUGCCGGUGAUAAACCGGAGGAAGGUGGGGAUGACGUCAAGUCAUCAUGGCCCUUACGAGUAGGGCUACACACGUGCUACAAUGGCGUAUACAAAGAGAAGCGACCUCGCGAGAGCAAGCGGAACUCAUAAAGUACGUCGUAGUCCGGAUUGGAGUCUGCAACUCGACUCCAUGAAGUCGGAAUCGCUAGUAAUCGUAGAUCAGAAUGCUACGGUGAAUACGUUCCCGGGCCUUGUACACACCGCCCGUCACACCAUGGGAGUGGGUUGCAAAAGAAGUAGGUAGCUUAACCUUCGGGAGGGCGCUUACCACUUUGUGAUUCAUGACUGGGGUGAAGUCGUAACAAGGUAACCA